rnacentral:misc_RNA from 1 species
AAGUCGUAACAAGGUUUCCGUAGGUGAACCUGCGGAAGGAUCAUUACAGAGUUGGGGUCCCUCGGGGCCCGAUCUCCCACCCUUUGUCGUCGCGAAUCUUGUUGCUUUGGCGAGGCCCGCCGACCCCCCUUCACCGGGGGCGAGGCGACCGGGCUCUGACCGGCCCGGGCAGCCGCCCGCCAGAGGACCAAAACCAAACUCUUCUUGAAAACCCAUGCGGUCAGAGUAAAAAUGAUAAAAUAAAUCAAAA